rnacentral:rRNA from 1 species
UACGGGGGGGGCAAGCGUUGUUCGGAAUUACUGGGCGUAAAGGGCUCGUAGGCGGCCAACUAAGUCAGACGUGAAAUCCCUCGGCUUAACCGGGGAACUGCGUCUGAUACUGGAUGGCUUGAGUGUGGGAGAGGGAUGCGGAAUUCCAGGUGUAGCGGUGAAAUGCGCAGAUAUCAGGAGGAACACCGGUGGCGAAGGCGGUUCUCUGGGCAUGUCCUGACGCUGAGGAGCGAAAGUGUGGGGAGCGAACAGG